rnacentral:rRNA from 1 species
CCUUACUGCUAUUGGGAUGGGACUAAGACAUGCUAGUCGAGCGCCUCCAAGCUAUGGUGGAGGCGCGGCGCACAGCUCGGUAAUACGUGGCUAACCUGCCCUUGGGACAAGGACAACCCCAGGAAACUGGGGCUAAUCCUUGAUAUGUGAGAACUCCUGGAAUGGACUCUCGCUAAAAGGGCGUCUAUACCAUGCUUUUAGGCGUCGCCCAAGGAGGGGGCCGCAGCCGAUCAGGUUGUUGGUGAGGCAAUGGCUUACCAAGCCUUUGACCGGUACGGGCCGUGAGAGCGGUAGCCCGGAGAUGGGCACUGAGACAAGGGCCCAGGCCCUACGGGGCGCAGCAGUCGCGAAAACUCACCAACUCACGAAAGUGUGAGUGGGUCAUCCCAAGUGCCAUCCGCUGAGGGUAGCUUUUCUCCAGUGUACAAAGCUGGGGGAAUAAGGAGAGGGCAAGACUGGUGUCAGCCGCCGCGGUAAUACCAGCUCUCCGAGUGGUGAGGACAUUUAUUGGGCCUAAAGCAUUCGUAGCCUGCUGGGCAAGUCCUCCGUUAAAUCCAACGAUCCAAUCGUUGGGCCGCGGGGGAUACUGUUCGGCUAGGGGGCGGGAGAGGCCGGCGGUAUUCUCGGGGUAGGGGUGAAAUCCUAUAAUCCCGGGAGGACCACCAGUGGCGAAGGCUGUCGGCUAGAACGCGCCCGACGGUGAGGGAUGAAAGCUGGGGGAGCGAACCGGAUUAGAUACCCGGGUAGUCCCAGCUGUAAACGAUGCAGGCUAGGUGUUGGCGCGGCUACGUGCCGCUCCAGUGCCGCAAGGAAGCCGUUAAGCCUGCCGCCUGGGAAGUACGGCCGCAAGGCUGAAACUUAAAGGAAUUGGCGGGGGAGCACCACAAGGGGUGAAGCUUGCGGUUU